GUGUUAAUUGUAUGUUUAUCUAAGCAUUCAAGCAACUAUCACUUAACUUUAUCUACAUAUUUUAAAAUAUAUCUUUAUACAACACUAUAUACACAGUGUACACCACAUAACAGUGUAAUUUCCAUUUCUUCGUACCUGCUGAUGUAAUAAGUACGGAAAACCGCCCCAAGUUGUUAUUCGCAAUGAUAAAUAAGUAAUAAUUUCUUAUGAACGAAUAUUGUA